CCCGAAUGCCGCUGGUCCUGGCCGACGACUCCGAGCCGGCGGACGGGCUGCCGCGGGCCAGGGUUCCGCAAGCCGGCGACACGGCCGACACAUUAAUUUCUGUGACACAAUAAAAAUAUUAGUUCAUUUCAAUUCCUGCUUCUGUGUAUCUGUUGCGUUUACAUCUCUCUCCACGGUAUCAUAGGUAAUGUAAUCCAGUAUUUCGAGGUCAGUUAUGCACAUUACAGUUGUUUAUUGCCUAAAAAGUUAUCGAAAAAUGAAGUUAAGGGCGAAGUAUAAAUCACGUCUAAAAAUAGACUGAAUCCCGACGUUGAAAUGAAGUAUAAACUUAGACUAGACGUCUAAUAUACGUCUUUUGCUCAGUGGGAUGACAAAGCAUGUGGACAUUUGUGUGACACGCCACUUACCCUAUAAUAAUAAUCGCCACCACCCGCUGCUCAAACGGUGUGAGGGUCUCCUCCCCCGGACCCCCACCUGUCUGGCCGGUACUCUUCCGGAGGGCAGCUGUACGCCGCUUGACCUCCACCUUGAGGUCCGACCACUUUUUUUUAAUCUCCGCGGGGGUGCGUGUCUCGGAACCCACCGCAUUCACCCUCUCGCAAACUUUCUCCCACUCCAAGCGUUUUUGUUUUGCACUGACGCCACUGGACAGGCUGCCAAACAAAACACGCUGUCGCUCCUCCGCCUCCGCCGCCAGCACCUCCACCUCGCACGCCGUAAAUGUAGUUUUUCUUGUCAUUUUGUCUGCGUGCGAGGACAGGGAGACCCUAUUUAAAUAAAUCUGCAUAUUUAUAGGAGGGCGUAACGGGGACGGGCCCAGUCACUCCGACAUCUGCGCUCAAUUCCACGCUGAUUGGGAUUUAUCAAGGAAACACACGUGGAUUUCGGCGCCCGCACACAUUGAUACAUACGGAUUUUUUUCAGCGUGACGGACCUUGCGUGCGCUCGUUUCUGGUAUGAGUUCCACGCAAGUGUUGAUACAUGAGGCCCCUGCUGCUUUAACUACAAGCAUCAGUCUCAGCAGAUGACUGUCUAACAUGAGUCUGGUUCUGCUAGAGGUUUCUGCCUGGUAAAGGAAGUUUUUCUUCUCCAGUGUUACUUGCUAAAUGCUGCUAAGCGCUACUUUUAUGAGGGCCAGUUUGACUAUAGACUGUUAAGAGUGUUAAGAGAAAAUGGAGCUCCAACCAAAUUACUGUAUUUUUCAGGCACUAAGGCACACCGGAUUAUAUGGCGCACUGUGAAUGAACGUGUCUACUGUAUGUUCAAACAUAAGGCGCACCAGGCUUUGAUUGGUUUAUUGUUGCUAGCACGUACUCCGGGCCCGGGCUGCCUUACAUAAAUGCACUUCUAGUUUAGACAUUACAGCAAGGCAGUCUUGUAGACUGCUGGACAGACUGGUCCUGUUACGGGGCCGAUCAAGUAGUGACACAGCGUACCGUAAUGCCCCGGAUACCCAUUGAGCAGAGCGGCUUCGUUGCUUACAAAAGUCGUACUUACAAAUUUUGACAGAUUUUUGAGCGCAUUUUACCACAUAAAAUCGGUCAGAAAGCACGACAAAUAAUCAUACAUGAGGUGCGCUGAUAAAAUUGAAGGAUUUUAAGUGCGUCUUAGAGUCCAAAAAAUACAGUAUCUCGUGAUACCAGUCCUAUGAUGAGAAACACAACUAGGUUGGAAAUAUAAGACAGUUUCAGUUGGACUAUUGUGGUAAUGGGUAUUUUUUUAAAAAAAGGGCAAUUUCAGUCAGGCUAACACAAAAAAUUGUGUCUUAACAACACAUGUAGUGAGUGAGCUUGAACUCAUGUUCCCAAAAAGUUCUUGUCUGUAAAAUUCUGUCAAUUCUUUCAGAAAUUAAAAAAAACCCUGAAAAUAUUCAUAUAGUGAGAAUAAGCUUUUUAAAGAUUUUCGUUCCAUUCUACUCACAAAAUAGUUUGAAGGUAAUCUAUUACCUUAAUCUUAAUUUGUAUUUAAUACGGUGUGUGCUGCUUUCCUCUUGGGCAGGUCAGCCUCGUAAAUGAGAUCUGAUCUCAAUGGGACUUAUUUGCUUGAAUAAAGGUUAAGUUGUACACACAGAAUAUUUAUCUUGAAUGCAAAAAGACUAUUGCCUUUUAAAACUAAUUAAUACUGAAUUAAUUCGCAUGGAUGGGAAAUAUGAGAAAAUAAUAACGAAAGCAGAUUGAAAGUGAUAAAUUAUCCAUGAGGCAUUAUGCAAAUACUGAACAACAAGGCAACAUGAUAUGCAAAUGUGAUGCUAUUUUUAGUGUUAAAACACAAUCAGUGUUCAUUUGGGAUGAGUGUACUUGCACACCUGGCUCAGAUUAUAGCAAUUAAGAGGAGUGAAGAGGUGGAUCAAAGUGGGACAUCCGGGUUAAUAAGAAGUCUUUACUUAUUACACUCUUUACUCCAGAGCUGCGCUUGACAUCUUCUGCUUGAGUAAAAUGGAAUUUCUCACAGGCCAAGAAAAUAGAACCUAAAUUCUAACCACUAAACCAGUCGUAUUACAUUCACUAAUAAACGUGAUUACUGCUUUAUAUUGUAGUAACUUAAUGUUUUAGGCAGAUCAGUUUCUCUAGUCUGAGACAUUUACCAGAAAAAUGUAAUCACAGAAACCAUGAAGUUGUUAGAACUCUGAUUGAGUCAUUAAAACUUGUCUGCGUGUGUUUAUUCAGAUUCAAAGCUCAAUGCAGAGCCAGAAAGGACAUGAAAAUCUGACUCAUGUUGAAGUCUUAAGCCUUGUAAUUUGGUUUAGUCAUCCUAUCCUGCACCAAACUGGGUUAUCAGGCAAAAUCACACACCCUGUAGUCAAAUGAAGACACGAUUAGCAUUGUGUUUAUUGGUCUGCUUGCAUCUUUGCUUAACUACAAGCAUAGAGAAUCAUCAUCAGCACAGCAAUAGACAAUCAGCGUGGAGAUUUCCUGGUCAGACAUGUGAACUAUACGGUGGUGGAGGUUCGUUUACCUGGAAAAUGGAGAACCAACAAUUUGUAGUGGUGUGCAGCUCCUCUUUACCAUUCCAACAGGAGAAAAAGGAAGCUUGGUCAGAUUAUCUGGUACAUUGUAUAAACACAAAUAACCAAGUACAAUUAGUUUAGGUUUAACUAAAGGACAGUGUGAAGUACUUUUGUCUAAGGAACUAAUUUAAAGAAUCUGACAGAGUUUUCACUCGUCGUGACUAAACAAUUUAAACUGUCAGCCAAUUAGACAGCCCAGCUGUACUUGCUGUUUGAGUCCCGUCUCUGCUUUGUGUGUCCUCUGCUUGAAUAUCCUUUCUUUUAAAUAUAUUUUUCCUUGUCUGUCCACAUGCAAACUAAGCUGUUAGCCUGGAGAUAGCGUGUAAUUACCAGCAGAGAAAGUGCCUAAAUUGACAUUCUCACCGCCUCUCGGCUCAGAAAGGUCCUCCUAAGAGGCUUACAGCAUGACAAACCUGCUGCGUUAAUAGGUUAAGCCUCCCCGCAGCCUUCGCUUCCCCCUCCACCUUCAUAUAUUUGUUGUGAGCGCUCUCAGUCAUUUUCCUGUCUUUCUCUGUACUUUCCCGUCUUUGUCAGCCGCUCUUUCAUAAUGCAGUGCCUUACUUGCUGCUUUUUUGUCUCUGGUUAAUUAACAUUUAAGUAACACAUUGUUUUUCUCUAUGCGAAUCUUCCCUCGCCGCCCUUUCCUCUUUCCUCUCCUCGCUCCCUCAUUACUGUGGCUUCCAUGUGCCUCUUUCUCCGUGUCGUCUUUGAUUUCAGCCCUGUGGCGAACUGGUGAGUCGAUGAAUGGAUAAUUAGAACUACACUGCAGCAGUAUAUAAUUAUGGGAGUGUUUUCAUAUAUGAAUAAUGUACCACCAGGAUGCUUUCGUUCCACUUGGGCUCAUGCAAAUAUUCACACUUCAGAUUACUAUCUUCUGGGGCUCGGUUGUUAAUCGAAAGUUAAUCAAAACUGACAUCCCAGACGUCUGUUUUUCUUUUUAAUUUUGUUAACACCCGGCAUGUGAUUCAUCAAGAAUUACCUUGAUUUCCAACAUUAAGAGGUGACCCACAUGAACCGUGGGUAUUCUUAAACAUUUUAGAAAAAUGCAAAGAGAGGGGAAAUUUACGGACAUUACAAGGCUGACAUGUGAAUGAAAAUAUACCUUAGUUAAAAUCAACAUGCUGUGUUGAAAUAGCCUCUAAAAGCUACUCAUGCUGUUUUUAUUGAAGGACAUACAUAAAAUGUUACUAUUGGAUUGGAUACAUAUACUGUGACAGCUCUUUCAAAGACAGCUCAUUCAAAUUCCGCCUCACUUUAGUCAUCUAUACCAUUACUCAGCUUUUCCCUCAGCUCCACACUUUGUAAAUACAGAAUGCCUCAGAAAGUUGCACAUAAGUGCUGAUGUUAAUGGAACCCGAGGCUGCUCCAUCUGUAAAGACUGGGGACCACAAGCUGUAAGUAACAUCAUAACAGCAGCUAAUGUAGCAGUAGCUAACGUAAGCUAAUGGGGCUGAAUUGGAGAGCAAAGUAGGCGCUGACGGCUAGCCUCAGAUGUUUUCUGAAGAGGAAUAACUUUGGGGUCAUUUUAUGACUACAGAAGUACACUGUGUCUAAUUUAACAUCACUGGAAAAGCAGCCAAAAUAAAGAGUUUCAGGCAGAGGCUGUAGCACUUAAACGAGGGCUCUCACAACUGUCAGUGGUAGGAGAGUAGAAGAUGGACAGUCUGCUCCCUUUCAUCUGAGUUAGCUUUGGGUUGGACUAUAAGUAACCUCAUAUUUAGAAACUUAUGCUAACUUCAGCUGCUGUCAAAAACAAGCCAAUAACAACUUUCUAGUUAGUGUUGAUUUAAGUGUCCAAAGCAUUUCCAAGAAAUCCUUAGUGGUGGGAAUUUCAGCCAUUGUGGUGAUCCAGAUUAUUUGGCCCAACUCAGCCUGAAGAACUCAACUCUUCUGUUUCCCAAAGGGCUCUUCAUUGUUCCAACUUUACUUUAAUUAAGUCAGUCAUUUUCGGUAAUGCUUUGACCUUGGGUUGAUAUGUGUGGAUGUAUUUUAUGCACAAUAAACCCUCAUGCCUGCGUCUGAUUGGCUGACACGCUGACUGUUUGUGUGUGUGUGUGUGUGUGUGUGUGUGUGUGGUGGUGGUGGUGGUGGUGGUGGUGGUGGUGGGGGGGGGGGGGGUCCUUUUAUCUGCUGCAGGUAACAUUUCUGAGAAGUGCUUUAUUCAAUUUUUUCCAAAUGACAAAGUCAAGAUUUGCACCCUUUAAUGACAAACAUAUCCCAGCUUUAAAAAGACACUGACACUGAUUUAAGGCUAUGUCCCCUUUUUAUGUUUUAUUUUUUAUUUUAUUUAUUUUUUAGUAACUGAUUCCAUAUUUAUUCCUGGCAGCUCUUUCCACAUGAGUAUAAACUCAACCAUCCUUCUCACACCUAUUUUCCACCGCUUUCAUUGCUCCAGUCUAUGCUUCUCAGUCGCCCCUUAGAGGUUACAUCUCCACUGAGAAUAAGCUGCUGUGCUCGCACACAUAAGAAACCAGACUUUGGUGCACUCUCACACAAAAACACACAAAUGGUUGUUUUCAUUUCUUACCAAUUGUCCCUCCUGCGCCCACCCUUUGUCCUACCUGAGUUAUUCCCAGGGUUCUCCUCUCCUAAGAGGGUACAUCUCUGUGAAAUACAUCUAUGCAUAGACUCGCACCAACACAAACUCCCUUAUUCGAUGGCUUGCCUUCCUCUGUCUCCUAGCCUUCUUGCUUUCUCGUCCCAGAUGAGGACUUGGAACCAGCCAGCCUCCUCAGACUCUUGUCUCAAUAAUGUGAUAUCCAUGUUUCCUAACAGAACCCCUGAGGACACCAUCUCUCCUCCAUCAUGCUUCAGGAAUCAUUACAGCAUGUUAGCCGCUCUUGCAUGCACACUCCUCUUAUCGCCCUACUCCACAGAGGGAAGAAAUGGCCAAAGAGUCUUUUAAGAGUAAGCUUGUACUCACUGGAGCCAACCCUCCAGAUGUGUGUACAGGAGCAUCUGAGGUGACAUCCAUCAUGUGCCAGACUUUCCUGUGUUACUGUUUACAAAGAUGUGCUUGUUUUGUUACACAAUACUUCACUUUAGAUCCUACUGAGACAUCUACCAUUUAAAGUAUACAUUCAGUUUCUAUCAUCUUUGCUCCAAGAUGAGUCACAGCAAAUAUAAUUUCCCCUGUGAGCUACAGACCUUAAACUCACAUUUGGGAAUGUGAGCCUCACCGAGGUGGUCUUUGACAUUUCUAGCCAUAAAUAUCACUGGUGCAGUGUAGUUCUACAGCCAUGGUGCAUGUCCAUCAACCAGUACUAAGUACCCCUCACCAUUUAGCUUUGUGUACAUGUGGACAGAGUUUAGUGCCAUCAGGGUGAGAGUGCAGAGCCUACCUCUGCUCAGCAGCGUUGGUUGUUACCAUUUUCAUCCUAUCAUAAUCUAAGCAAAGUUCACACUCCCAUAUGAACAGCUAGUAAAUAAAAAUCAUGAUCACCGAUCAGACCCUCAUCUCUGAAAGACUCAAGUGGAGGGUUUAUCACUUGAUUGACAGUUAUUCAGACACAGUAGUGGACCGUCAGGGCCAGCAAGGCCUUCUCUGCUGGCCUAUACCAACUUCAGAGUAAAUGUAUUUAUUUAUUUUCAUAAAUAUGUAGAUAAAAUUAUUCUCUAUUGUCUGUUCUCUUUGUGUCAUAUUAUAUCCACUUGGUUGAGCUGCUUCCAUUGUUGUAUUGUUGUGUUAUGAUCUGUUUACUUUAUUUUCAAUGAAUAGUUUGUUUCAUUAUCGUCUCUUUGGUGUCUUGACAUGAAAUGGUAACAAUGCGCAUAUAAUUGGACAAACUUGUUUGAGCUCACAUAGUGUACUGUUUGUGGCCUUUUGUUGACUAAUAUCUCAAAAUCACAUUUUAUUUUUGAGUUUUGACAGAGUGGGUGGCCUUACUUUCCUACUCUUGACUGUGAAUGUGUACUUAUUGGUUUUAAAUGCUCUGGAAAUUAAGUGUCGUUCAACUAGCCUAUAUUAAGAUGAUGUAAUGUGUUAGAGGGAUUCUGAUGGGUUAUCAAACCAUGGUGUCAAAUUGAUGGUUUUAUGAGGUAUAUUAAUUUAGGUAGGACUAAGUGGGAUGGCACUGAAUGCCCAGGUGUGAAAUGCACAGCCCGCCACUGUUAAGACAUAAUGUGAAGCCUUACUUUGACUGCGUAAAAACUACAUUGAGACUUGGGAUUGUACCUGAAGAAUGAAUUUGCAAAUGGAAGGAUAAGGAAGAAACCAAUGUUGAGGGGGUAUGAGCAUUUCCUGGCCUGUGACGAUGACCAGCAAAUAAAACAAUUCGGAUUCUCGAGUUGUGCCACUGGAUUAAGAGAGGGGACCGACAAACAUGACAAAACUGCCUAUUCUGAUACAAAUAAAUGUCAACCACUUCUGCUGAUUACAAUCAGUUGGAAUACGCAGACACACACGUUUGUGACAUGAUUAACUAUAAAUAAUGUUUAUCCCUUUGCCCAAAGCCUUAUUUGGGAUAAUUAUGUUUAGUUCAAUUAGAUUAAAUCCUUUUUGUAUGUCUAGGAUAUCAUAAUUGUCCCUGAGGGCAAUCAUGUCAGCCAUCUACAAUACUUUUAUUGAAAUAAGUGGUCGGUACAGCAGCUUCCCUUACAGUGGAGGGGAAAGACGACAUUAAAGGCAAUUUGCAGCAAUGUCCAGUUUCCCAAAUGUAAUCAGCACAAUUGAGUGCACCCAUUGAUCUCAGGGCUCCGUAUGCAAAUUGAUUCAUCCAUGUUCCUCAAGGCAAGUAGAUUCAAUUAACAUCCCAGUCAUAUGUUACUCCAACAUGGUGCUAAGGAACAGUGGCGCAAUGGUCUGGCUGAUUUGUGACACCUUAUCAAGGAAAGUAGUGUAGAAAAUGAAAUCCAUGGGGACUCUUUUUCACUAAAAACAUUCUCAUCACCACCCCUGACUACUCAUGUGAUGAAAGAAGAAACAGCCAUGGUUUCCAUCCUUUUUCAACACUUCUCCAAUGGUUAUUUGUUUCUCGUCUUUUUCUAAGUUGAGGUAUUCUUUUGUUGACCCAUCAGCACACAUGUUUUGGAUGAGAAAUGCCACUGAAUCACUUCUCUAAAUCUCUGAUAUAUUUUCUGUUGCACUUCUUGUAUCAAAUCUAGUGGUAGUGUGUCAACAAUGGCUGCAUCUUCUUUUGUUUGUCAAUCCACUGUGGUGGUCGCCAAGCAAUAUCUGCUGUCUGAUUAUAGCCUCAUAUGAAAGCCAGUCCCUCCUGAAGAACAAAACUUUGCCAUAAAUUCUUCUGUGUGUUUUAAUUUGUUUUCAAGGGCACUCCUUGAUGCAUGAAUUUCACACCAUAGAAAUGUUAAGUGCUUAAUACUCAGUCUCUUUGCAUAAAUUCCUGCAGCAAUGAGGCGUGGCAUAGAGGCGAUCAGUCCGUGACUCUGCUGAGGUGUUAUGGAAGCCCAGGUCAAUCUGAUAGCACCCUUCAGCUCUUCUGCAUUGUUGGGUCUGGUGUCUUGAAUCUUCCUCUUCACAAUAGCCCUAUAGAUUCUCUUUGGGGUUUAGGUCAGGGGAGUUUGCUGACCAAUCAAUCACACAGAUACCACAGUCCUUAAACCAGGUAACCAGGAAGUGCUCUAAAACAUCCUGGUAGACAGCUGAGCUGACCUCCGACCAGAUAAAACACAGUGGACCAACACCAGCAGAUGACGUGGCUCCCCAAACCACCACUGACUGAGGAAACUUUAGACUGGACCUCGAGCAACUGGACCUCGAGCAACUUUGAUUCUGUGACUCUCAUCUCCUCCUGUAGACCCUGAGACACUGAUUUCCAAAAGAAAUGCAAAAUCUACUUUAAUUUGAAAAAAAUAACUAUGUACCACUGAGCAACAGUCCAGUUCUUUUUGUGCGUGGACAUGUAGACUGCUGUGUAUUGCUCUUGUGUGGUUGUUACUAAAGUUGGUAUAACGAGAGAACCAAGCAUUCAGCAACAUUCAUCUCUCCAGGGGGGUGUCUAACUCGGUGUCACGGUGUGUUUGACCAAAACUUAAAUUUACGUGGGCUAUCCCUUUGAGUAAUUCAACUUUUUGAUUAUUGAGAUGCAUUGUCUAAAAACACAUCAGUUUGGUACCAUGCAUGUUAAAGGAAAUUUACAUAACUCAUUUGCAUGGCCCAGGGAGGUGUAACAUCAAGAAACUGUUUCUUGAUUUUAAAGGUUUAAGAUUAGAAUAUUUUCAGUACAAAAAUGUAAAUUAACCUUGAAUAAUAUUUAUUUUUCUUUAUUAGGAACUGAAAGAUCUUUUGCACUUCACUGUCUUAAGUGCAACAUAGGUUGAGAGGUCUGCAUAAUGGAAAAAUAGCCAUGUAAUGGGGAAAAAAAAAAAAAGCUGAUUUCUAAGUGUGUAGCUAUAGCUUAUCCCGCUUAUAUCAGAGCUUUGCAGGGAGAGCCACAAACAAACAUGCACACAAAUGCACAACACAGCAAUGCCACGUACCACCUUUAACUAUACUGGACAUCAGUUCUGCUAAAAAUGAUUUACAGAACAAGACAUAAACAGCAGAGCAAGAAAUCACAAGUAGCUCAAAAUCAAAAGAUUUUAAUUAAAUAUACAGGGACUGUAAUAUUACCAGGUACAUUUUAAACAUGACUUAAUAUGCCUAUAAUAUGCAUAUUUGACGCUUAAAAGUCUUAUCACAGGCCCAUUCUUUUUUCUUUUUCAUAGCACAACCCUCAUGUCUUUAUACUCACGAAGCAGAAAAGCUUUCAACAUCACUGCAGUGGUAUAAUCAACAUAAGGGGUUAAAGUUGCACGAAGCCUUCGAGUGUGAACUUCAAAACUAUGCAAAGUGAAACUCUAGGCUCUUGCUUUCACAACAGUUGUGUGAGUCCCUCUGAGUUAAUCCAGUGUUGCUCAUCUCAUGAAUCCCAUAAAAAGUUCAUCCUUUUCUCUCUCACAUGACACCUGACCAAAGUGGGUAUUUUAAUGAAAGUCUCACGCUCCCUGAACAGAAGCGCGUUUCUGGUGCCACUUGUCAAUUUAACAACCCCUCACUUCAAGAUGCACUGCAUCAGCUCCGCAGUAAUGAAUGAAUAAAGAGCAUGUUACAUACAUGCCAUGAAGUGCAUAUUGAGCUCAUAAUAACACGGCUCAGGGUUUCAUGGCCGCUGUUGAACAUUAACUCCUCACGGGCAUAAAAAUCACAUUCUGUAUAAUCCAUAUGGUUCCAUCAGGUACGUAGACCUGAAAUAUGAAUCUGACUGUGAUGUCUAUGAGGAUCUCCAAUACUAUCUUUAUUCUUGUGGAAAAUGCUAAUCCUAUGCUUGUCGAGCUGCAAACUGAACUAAGGAUUAAUAGUUUGGUCCGGUUUUGCCAGAAAAGAGUGACAAAAGGGUAGCCUGGCGUUCCCUGACCAUUUCCUUUAACAUGCAUGCUACCAAACUGAUGUGAUUUUAGACAAUGCAUCUCAAUCAUCAAAAAGUUGAAUUACUUAAAGGGAUAGCCCACGUAAAUUUAAGUUUUGGUCAAACACACCGUGACACCGAGUUAGACACCCCCUGGAGAGAUGAAUGUUGCCGACUGCUUGGUUCUCUCGUUAUACCAAGAGCAAUACAUAUCUUGAAGUGCUCAAUUUAUUCUAUUUUUGCAGGGGGCGUUUCCCACUCUGGGAGUCAUUGUGCAAAACUACAACCAAUUACAGUUACUUGUGACAAAGUGCAUAGCAACAGCAAUGUGAAAAGACAGGAGUAUGCUGAGAAGAAAAACAUACCUUUAUCAAUAAUUGCUGUAUGUUGUUUCUUUUUUUAAAUAAAAAUACAUUAAAGGCUGAAAUAGCAAAUUUAAACAAACUAGUGGCAGAAGUUGCAACAUUUGUUGUUCUUGAAUAUCUAAAGCUCAGAAUUAUUGAUGGUUUUUUCUUGGGUGUUCUGAGAAAAAAAGUAGAUUGAUUAGGUUUUUCCAGAUUACGAAAAAAAGGGCAGAAAUGUAACACUAAAAAAAAUUCUUACUUUCCCCUCAGAAAUCUAAAUUAAAGCUCAUAAUUUUGACUGUUUAUGACAUGAUUGGGACCUUAAAGUCAGGAUUCUAUUUGUUUUCUAAUGAUUACAACUUAAAACUUAACUAUCUGAGUAAAAUUUCAGAAAAAAUGUGAAAUUUCUGCUAUUUUAAUCAGAAUCAUGAGUAAAAACUCAGAAUUAGAGAAAAAAGUCAGAUGUUACAAAACAUAAUCCGACUCCUCACUUGACUAGCUGUCUGUCUUGAAGUAGUGUAUUAAUGGUGCCACCUAGAAUCAGUCGGUUCAGCUUUCAUCGGACCUGCAGUUUGAUGGAAAAGCUGUUACUGCUCUUGAAAUCUAAAGUCAAGGUUAUGGCUCAGCCUACUUUUUCACAGGUGAGUUAACUUUUUCAUGUCAGGUGAAUUAAUGUUGACUCUGAGACAUGAAGGGCGAUCUCUUCUGUGUUUCACUCAUCUGUCCUCUUGACCUCCUGCAUCCUUUGAUUCUUCUCCUUUGUACUUCCCCACCUGACUUUCUCCUUUGCUCUCAUCAACAUGAGUACAGCUACUUUAAAAUGCAGACUAACAUUAAAUAUAAAUAUUGGUUGUAAUAAGCUGCUUGCACAGACACUCUUUGGAGGACGCCCUAAAUUAUUUAUAUAACACAAGAUCUAAAUUGAACAUCAGGGUUUCCUAUUGAUGCUUUCUAGGUUCGCCCACAGAGUCCAUGGUGAGGAAUGAUAAUUAUUUAGAUAACUCUAAGGUAUUCCAAUCAUGCCUUCUUUCGGUGAAAAAUACUGUACAUAUAUAUGUAAAACUAAAGUGUGGGCACAGCAAUAAUAAACUAUUUUGCUUCAGUUUGCUCCAAAGGACUGUGGUUAUAUCUGCACAUUUGUCUGAGAACACCUGAACUCCCACAGCUCAGCUCACAGCUGGCACAGCUCUCACCUGACCAGCUGUCUGAGAAUUUGGUUAAACCUUCACAAGUUUGGCUAUGAAUGUGCGAUGAGAGCCCCAGCUGUGCUCUAUGGAGUUUAUUUUUCUUUUCCAAAGCCCACAGAAAUUCUCCAAGAAUGGAUUAUGGCCACCGACAGGACUAUGAAUUUGGCAUCAUUUGCCUCAGUUACCUACUCUGACUUGACAGCAAAUCCUCAAGCCAUGCUAGGUAAUAUAUAUAUAUAUAUAUAUAUAUAUAUAUAUAUAUAUAUAUAUAUAUAUAUAUAUAUAUCAGUGGCGGCUGCUGGUCUUUCAAGGAGAGGAAGCUCAUUUUUCUGGCCUACAUCAUAAUUGUAUUUGUUUAUUAGUAUGUAACAGAACAGAGUCGCCAAACACAACACAACAGCAGUCAUUUUUAACAAAGACAAGAGUCGCUGAGGAUCGGUAAGGUCUCCGGAGCAGUUAAGAACAACGGAAUGAAUAACUUGGAAAAUGCUCUGGUAGAUGUUUUAUUCUUCAAGAUCGCUGAUUCGCUUGUUUAGCUGUCAAUCAAAAAAGGAUUUCGCCUCAGACAGCUCAUCCAAUCAUGGAUGCAGAAGCUUGGAGUCCGGAGAAAGUCGGGACCGCCCUCUCGCCAUAGAACUCCAGUGAAGCUGGGCUUCCGAUGGGCGGGACAAAGCCCAGCAUUUAUCCAAUGAGCGUCUAGUUUCGCUGCUGGAACAACCCACUUUAAGCUUCCACAUUGAAGUCAGCAGAAGCCCAGCGUCCGGCUGUUUAAAGCGCUGAGGCGCUGCGAGGAUGAAUGAGAACGAAGCUAUGCCGGUUACCUGUGAUUAUCAGCUUCUUAUCACAGUGUCUGAACAAAAGAUGAAGGCUUUCUAGUGCGUAUUUAGUUAAUGAAAUGUACACACAGCAGUACGUAUUUCACCACUUUUUCUUUUUUUUGAGGGGGGACAUUUUAAGGGAAGCCGAGCUUCCCUUGCAGUCUUAGAGCAAUCGCCACUGAUAUAUAUAUAUAUAUAUAUUUUCCACAAUAACACAGAGUUUGCUCUUGUUGCUAUAUUCUUUAGCAAGUUUCAGUAUACUUCUGAGCAUAUAUUUUAUAUUGUACACCGUGUGUAAAUGAAAUAAAAUGAAAUAAAUAAAUUCUCAGCAGACAAAAAAAAAUCAAGCACAGGUGUGUGUAAAUGAGACCUUUUUUUUCCAAUGAGCCUCAUUUGUGUUGAAAAGACCCCCCCACCCCCCCACCAACACACUCACACACAUACGCACACACACACGUACACACACCUUGAUAGAUGCAUGAUGACUAGGCUGAAAGUGCCAGAGCAGAGACACUAUUAUUUGUGGAGUGCAGUUUGAGGUAUAUUUAACCCUCUGCAAGUGCUUUGUAUCUUUUCAUCUCAUCGCUUCGGUUUAACAGCACAAAAGCUUCUAAAUCCUUCUGUAAAUCUAGCUCCGAUUUGAUCGUAUCCUGUAUUUAUCUUGAUUGAGAAAUCUCUAACAGCUUCACUAAAUUUUACUUGUAUAUCUUCAUUUUCAGGCUCGAUGCCAACAGGUAUUGGCAGGUGUCUUGAUGACUCAAAUGUUCUCAACCUGUUUUCUCUCUCUGAAGACAGCAGCAUAUGCUUGCAUGACUCAACCCCUGUGUUAAUCAAGAAACUGCAGCCGGCAGCGACAGAUAAUUAACAUACAAGGAGUGUUCAUACUAAGUUAUUUUGAUUUUCUGCUUUCAGACCUAACUGUUUCAAUAUUCAUACACCUUUGAGUACCUUUUUUAGAGCAAAAUGCAAAGUAUUUUCCUAAAUUGUUUGUUUUCCCCUUAUGUAGUGUAUAUAUUAAGGCUGCAAAAUAUACUGCAAAACUGCCUAAAUAUAAACUUGUUUAUCAUAUUGUUUAGCGUACAUCUCUUUUGCCCUUAACUUCCCUGAAAUGAUGUGCAUGUAUGCCGCGUAUAUUCAGUCACUGACUCAUUGCUAUAUUGCUGUCUUUCUUUCCCCAUGUGCUGCCAUCAUGUUCGACAAGGAACUGAAAAGCAGACUUACCUUUUCACUUCUCUCUGAUUAAUAUACGGUUAAAUAAAAUAAAAGCACUGACAACCACAUAAACAAAAUCUUGAUCAGGCCUCAGCAUUCACAUGACAUCCAGCAGCACCUGGCUCCUACAAGAGACUAUGUUUAAAUGAAGAUUUACUGUGGAUUGAAUUUUCUCAAUAACAGUCAUUCAAGCGUGAAAAUCAACUUUUGAUUGUUUUAAAAAAAGACAUUUGAAAAUAAGUCUGACUGUCAUUCAAGUUCUGUUGCAUCACCAAAUGGAUUAAGAAGAACUCUUUAGAGAAAAUCCUAUCAGUAUUUGCCACAUAUCAUAUUUUCCAGGGCUGAGCUCUCCUGCAGUAAUCGUUUUGUUUUCAGGCGUGUGACUAGACAUGUUUAGACACCAUCACCACCACCAAGGCUUAACCUUGAACUCAUCAAACUCCACUCUAUAUAGGAACCCCUUCAGUCCCUGCUAUUCUGCAGGAUUACGAGGACAUGUGUCAAAAGACUUGGAUGGCAAACAACAUCAUCUGCCUGAUUUUGUAAAAAUCCCAUUCUGCUCAAACUCGAGUGGAUAUCUCACUCAUCCCUCUCAGCCCAACAACACACCAUUAGCUUAGCACUGAUUCAAGAGAGGAUGCCAGACAGAUGAUAAUCACCCAUGGAGAGACAACAGGAAAUUGGCAUGAUGGGGAUUCGGCACUCAAGUGGUCAUUAAUGGGACUGGUCACGUCCUUGUACGCUGAUGGGAGGAAUAAGCAGCAACGUGUGUGCCAUAGGAACCAGGGCUUAUAUGAACAAAGAUGUGUGGAAAAGACAUAAUUGAACGGCAGUAUUUACAGUAACAGUAUAUCAGGGUUAUUUCUUUUAUUUCAUUUAACAUAAAGAUUUCCCCAGUGCUUCUUUUUCCCUUGAGAGUCAUGAUGUAGGAUAUUUAAUUCCUGUCACUAUUGGCUUUUGCCUGACAUCUCAGGUGUAAAUUUUCCUGUGAUUGGUCGGCCAGCAGAGCCCUGGACCUGCAGGGGAAAGGUUGACAAUUAGUCCCUUUGAGGUGCCUGCUUGAAUCUGCGGCUGCAGUCACAAAUGAAACUGGAUUGUCUAAUAGGCAAUGAGAGGAAUGGGGUUAAUAAGAGAGACAUGGACUGGAAAAGAGAAUAGGAAAGGGCAGAGGAGAAAGAAAGCUAACAGAUAAUAGCCAUUUAGAUAGAGAUAAUGUAUAAUUCAGUGCAUUUCAGAUUCCCCUGAGCAUCAGCAGGGGUGUCAGUAUUGAAUCUUGGUUAAAAUGGUGGAAUCAGAUAUUUUCAACCAUUUCUGAAUCGUCUAAGAUUUAUUGAACACAUCAGCAACAACAACCAAUACUUGUUAUCUGCAUGAAGUUGUACAAAUCCUCUCUGCCUCCACAUUUCUUUCUCAUUUUCAUUCGUGAACUUUCCCUAAAGCAUGCUGGUGAGAAGAAAAAAGCAGCUACGUCAGUUUAAUAUUUGAUGCUGGCUGACAGAGUUUUUAGCAUGCUUUCUGAUCUUAUUCACACCUCCGGACUAUGGGAGGAAAAAAUACGGCUCUGGAUUCCAGUCAGUAAUAAAUUACCAAUAAUGCAAGGCUUUUUGAUUCUCCAAAACAGCUCGGAGACUCAUAGGAUCAUCUAGAUAACACUGAACAUGUUUGGUAUUUACAAUCAGAAUGAUUACUUACUCUGACAUUGACUUUUACCCCCUAAAGCAUUUCUCAUCAUUACUUUUGAAACAUUGAGCCUUGUUUUUUCUCUUUCUGGCCCCCAGUUCCUUUUUUUUGUUUACAUCUCCUUUUCUGUGGUAACAUGUGAGAUUACUAGAGGUGGUCUCCUUUUUCAUGCUCAGUGAAUAGCUGCAGUUUUUAAACAGACAGUUUCUGCCUCUAGAAUUAGAUAAAGAAACUCGGUAAGAAAUUUGUUUCACACAGAGAUGCCUAAUUAAAAAGUCUAAAGGCUUGUAUUCCUACUAUGUGGCAAUAAGGGUGCAAUGUAUUGCAGCAUUCAUUCUGUGUAACUUAAAACGUCGACCUGCUGUGAUGCUUUAAGUUGUUUUCAGCAUAAUGAAUCUUUCAUUGUUCUUACUGGUGGGUCCAAGUGACCUCAAUAAAGUAGAUGAAGUUUAUAUGCAGCUUUUACCCGCUUAACCCACAAUGACAUGAUGAGCGGAGGAAAAACAAUGUCGUCACCUCGUUAUGAAAGUUCUUUGUUAGGUUGGAAAAUUGAUGUCAACUGAAUCAGCUCUAAAUGUUCAUAUUUCUACAAACUCCAUCCAUUCACAAAAAAAACAAAAAUGUAAAUAAAUUCUCCAAUGUCUGCCUUUGCUUUUCCGCUUUAAACUGAAAAUACAUAGUUGUUAUUAGUAUGUCAUGUUAAAAGAAAAGGGGUAGAGGGGAGUUUUUUCUUUCAAUAAAUGAAUUAAUUAUCAAUAUAAAUGACAAAUUUGGAUAAAUGGGAGAACGCUACUGUUUUUUUGUUUUUUUUUCCUGAAACAACUAUCUCAAAUGCAGAAAUUUUGAGCCACUGAUAGCUGUCUUAUGUUGCACUUUUAGCUAUCCCCCUGUUAAUUAGCAACAGAUCAAUACAGACCUCCACUGAGCCACCUUGGCCAGGGGCAGACCGAUUAUCAGACUUGGUUGAUUAUCUGUAUCAGCCUUUCAUUUUACUGAUCGCGAAUAACCGCUCGUGAGCGAAAUGCCCUGCCCACAACACAAUAUGUUUGCGUAGAUAUCACGCAACUUAAUUUUGACUCCUGAUAAGAGGUUAGAAAUUUAGAUUUAAUAGACAUUAGCUCAUGGCAUGUGAGCAAAGUUUAACUUCUGAAUUUUGACAAAGUUCACUGUAAAUGCUCAGCUUAAAGGUGGGGUCGGCUGGAAUCCGUUAAAGAAGCAUCUUUUUUGUGGUGUAUAUACAAAAAAUUUUUUAAUAUCAGUCAUUAAGAUUUAGUUAUUGAUGGGAAUAUCACAGUAUCACUGUGUUUUGUUAUGUCUGUGUAGUCAACAUUUAAACAUUUUUGAGCUGCCCGCUCUUUCUGACUAUAAACAAAGCUGUUCUACACCUCCCCGACCUGAUUGGUUGUGAGGCGGGCGCUGCUCCCUCCUGUUGUGAGACACGCUGCACAUCCUCAAAUAAUAUGCACAAGCACAGACAAAGUUAGCGUGCUACAAUAUCGGACAGUAGAAACCAACCAGAAAGUACGGGAAAUUGUCUGAAUCCUCCUUUGGCCAUGACUGCCAACACAAGCAAGUAAAUAAAGUCAAUACUGGAGUCUCUGGCAGAAUAACGGGUGCUUAAAAAGGAGGUAGACCGGGUCAACAUCAAUGAAGCGUCAAUGAUGGGGGACGCUUAGGGAUCUUACAGACCCUGUAACCUUUCUGCUGGACAGGUAAACAACUUUAACAAAGUAAGCCCAGUGUUUGUAACAUAAGUGUUGCUGUGUUUCUUGUAGAGCCGCUAAAUUGUUUACCUCGGGUCCUGGAGUACGUCACUUUAUCCUAGCUGUAGAAGGCCUGCAAACAUUGUGUUUGCUGGUAGUCUGUUGGCGUCUACAGUAGAACCAACUUUCACGUUGACUGGGCCCCAUUUGUAAUUAUCUGAAGUAUUUAUCUGCAUUAUAUCUGAAUUUAAAUGGAAUGUCACAAGCGAGCAUGAGCGUCUGUUUGUGGAGGAGAGGAGGAGCUGAGGGGAAAAAUGGUUGGUAGGGGUAGUGUUUACAUUCAAGAUGUCUCCCAAAAACUGGCACUUCCUCAGAUCCAGCCUACCCAACCUUUAACAUAAAAAGCAGUAAAAACACAGCAGAAUUCUAUUUUUUUUACAAACAAAUUUUUAUUUUCACUGUCGAUGUAUACCAGUUACAAAUAUUGGCCGUGAAAAAACCUCAUCAGUUGACUCCUUCCAAAUGCAUAUAAGACCAAAUAUCUGUUAAUGAUUUCAUGAACUACUGAUAUUAAGUGUUGUAAUCGACCAGUAAAAGCUAAUAUCUGUAAAAUCUUAUGCUCUGUUUUCUAUGUUUUUGCCACAUAUAACAAGAAAUGCUUCAUUGCUGUUUGAUAAUGAUACUCAGGUUACAUGGCUGCUACCAAACUUUAAGAGUAAGCCAGUUAGUAUGGUUUAUCAUGACAAUUACGUUAACUUAACAGUAGGCUGGUCAGUGUGCAUCAUCAAUGUAGUCUGAUGAGAAGUGGAAUGAAAGGUCCCUGGGAUAAAAGCCAGAGGGGUGGUAUGUAAAAAGCCUUUCAGCACUAUGCAGGCUUGUGUUAUGAAAUGGUUGUUGUCAUGAUUUGUGAAACCAGGAAGGAAAACAGAAGAAUUUUCCCCUUAACCAAGGACACACAGUAAUUCUCAUCAGCUUCUCAGGCAGCAAUAACAGUAAAACCCAGAGAGGGCUGAUGUAUGCUAAGUUGAGCCAUUUAACCAGAAUACCUUUCCAUCAGCAGCACCCGAGUGUGUGCCCCCCUGACCGGUGGCAGGCAUAAUAAAACAAAACGCAUAGCUCCAGGAGCUAAUUAUGCUGCCGCUGUUAAUCUGUGUGACUGCCCGUCUGUGUUGGAUUGUCUUGUUUGUUGGUUGGACUCACACUGUCUGCCCUUUGGCUUUAAUCUUGGCAUUGAUCUCAGCCAUAAAAGGGAGAAAAAAAAAAACCAGAAAACAUUGGGGAUUUUAUAGUGUGGAGUGAGAGAGAGAAAAUGCCUGAGAGACAAUUCAACAGACAAAAUAUUAUGUGUUUGUUCUAAGCUUGUUGUGUAUUACCGUGGCUCACACAAACCCUAGUAUAAAAAAAGGGCAUAAGCAAACAAAUCCAUGAAUUGUAUUGUUGAUAAGAUUUAAAUGACCACAUACACUUGAGGGAGCGAUUUCAUGCCGGUUAAAGGCCGUGGGAAACUUACAAUUUGUCUCUUUUCAUAGAUGGAUGGAAGUAUAAGUGUGCCAGCAGUCAAAUUGAAGUGUCACUGCAGGUUUUGAUGAUAUAUAAUAACGUUAUCUCUCAAAACUUUGUCCUUCAGUUCUGUAAGAAGGAUAAAAGUUUUAUUAUUGUUGUUAUUUUUGUGCAGCUACAAAUCAACACAUCACCUAUUACUUUGCAUUACAUUUGCAUUCAUUCAUACCAGAGCCAUAUCUUUCUCUCAGCGGGUGAUGGGGCUCAUGGGAAAUCAAGUCUUCAUCCUGGCAACACAACACCAUCCAAAGGGGUCACUGGGAUCAAUACCAUAUGCCUUACACUACCUUUAAGUCUUUAAAAGGGGCUGUAGGUGGCCCCCGCAGUGGUCAAUUGCAAAAGCAUGGUGGGCAUUGCACCUGCCAGACAGUACAGUAGCUUGAUGGCAUGUUAACAUUUUAGUCCAAAACACCACUGUGUACGGUGCCCCACUUAAACCCCGGACAGCUGCAUGAUCCAGCCUCCGGAGAGUUCCAGAUUUUAAAAGCUAUGAAGCUUGAAUGAUCAGAUAAAACUGCUGUAUUAAACUGAAAGGUCACAUAAAUUGUCUUUUAAGCAGUGAUUCCUCAUUUAGGUCACUAAGGGCCGGAUAGCAGCUGUUAUUCUGUCAUAGGAAAUAAUAGACUGCAUUCACCUGGUGUCCAAAUGGUAAAUCAGUCUCUGAUUAGGUGGGAGGAAUGAAACCUCCGGGUCACCACGGCCAUCAUGGUCCAUGAUUGACUAUCACUCAUAUUGAACGUGACUAGCAUUCAGCUGUUUUCUCUGCCUGUCUCACUGUGGGGACAGAAUUAACCGAGGAACAGGCCUCAGAAUAGAAAAGACAGAAACUUUUUAAAACAUAGACAUGCACGCAGUUCAUACGAGGUCAACCUGAAUGCAUUUGAUCAUAAACACUUCUUUUAAAAUGCAUUUCAAGGGAACUCAGGCAAAACAGGAGGGGACAAAGUUCCUCACAAAGAGUCUAAAUUAGCUCAUAUCAUUUUUCUUUCACUCUCUCCUGCUUCCCUCCUCGCCGAACUAAACUGCUGCCAAGGAAAUCCAAUUAGGAACAUUUCAACAUGGCUGACAAACGACUCUCCGCACCAGCCGCCCUGCUUCUUUUGUUGGAUUGAGCUCCUGUAUGGACGAAUGGAGGACGGAAUUAAGCGAGUAGCAAUUACCGUCUCUCCGUAUGCACACACCUACACACAUAUGUCCACAAAUACACAAAGUUGCGCCUACACACUUUUAAACCGAUGCGUGCACACAAUCAAGCAUAUAGAAGGACCCGGGACAGCUGGCUCACGCUCAACACUCAUAACCACAAGCAGAAAAACAACACUUACACGCGCUUAUUUUAACCUUACAUGCAUGUGAUUACAAACUGCAGACCGGCCAGGAUAAAGCUAUUCCUUGCAGUGAUCAUUACAGCACAACCGCGCUCUGGAAAAUCCAUUUUCUGCACCCUAGCGAUUUUCUUUUUCUUUAUAGAUUAUCCUCAAGCUCUUGCAGCAGCCCAGAGCUAUGGUUCAGACACACCCAAACACACUCCCCCUGCAUCUUGUUCUUGUACCCUUAUUAGUUUCCAUAAAAUGUUUGCAUCUUUCUCUGCUGUGUGUCUCAUUGAUUUACAGAGUGAAUCACAGACACUUUCAUGGCCUCCUAACACACCGCGCUCUGUCUUUGCAGAGGGAUCGAUGGACUCUUCAUACAGACUAUGCACCAGAAUACAAAUAUAAAGACUACAGCGGGAAACUCAUUAGAGACAGGGCUCUGACACCAGCAGGAGGCUGACUUUAGGGAUAGUUUUGAUAAUAUUAACUAGAGCCCUUUUAAACAGUAUUAACAACUGCUACAUACAGGCCAGAGACUCAGUAAAAGUUCAUUUAAAUUAUAAAGUGAAAAGAUCACAAAAAUAAAUGUCAUGAGAAAUAUAUUGCUGUAGCUCGGUAGAGUGAAGUUUCAGUUUGUUAUUGCUGAAACUGAAAAUUAUGGGCCUUCUCUCAGCAAUCUGAAACACACAGUCUGAAGAGUAUGGUGCUGCGUGUCUGACUGUAUUUUUACUGAAUCAUAGGUGUUUUGGGAAUAACAUCAUGAGGACCUUUCAGCUUGUGGCCAUUUAAGAGCUGUUUUGGUGCAAUGGUGAGAUUGGAAAUGCAGAACAUUGUUUAAUGUGUAGAAAUGACUUAGCUGAGGAUUACGUAAAUUGGAGAUGAGUCUGAGAUCUGAACUACUUUUAAAGUGGUUUAACAACACCUGUUUUAAGUGACUGGGGAGGUCCAUGUUCAAAUUAAUCCAUGAUAAUUUGUACUGGAUAAUUGACAUUAUUUUGGAAAAGAUAAGGACGGUGGUGGUAUAGUCAUCCACAAAGGUAUCCAGAACGAGUGGUUAACCGGAAAUUGAGUUGACAGCUGAGACAGGGCAGCAGGCUGGAGGUAGUGAGCUGGUGGCCUGUGUCUCAACACACGGUCUAUUAGACUUAUGAAGUCACCUUUGAGCUUUUUUGAUUGUUUCUGAUGUCGUUAAUUCCAACAUGAAUGACAGCAGUCGAGGCGGAUGGGUUUUGGUCCAGCAGCUGCGAAACUUCAGUCUAUGUCCUGGGGCCUCAUGUAUCAACGCUUGCGGCGCAAGAAAACCUUGCGUACGCCAAAAUCGGCGCACACGUCCAGAUUUAUCAUCGCGAAACGAGCGUCGGUUCCAGCGCUAAUCAACGCAAAGUCAGGAGGUGGUGUAGAAAUUGGCGUUGAGCUGGAUAUUUGCGUUGACUGUGAUUCGCACUUUGGCGACGCUGUGUGGCGGUGUUUGGUGACUCACUAUGUGACAAGCGUGCACCACAUCCCCGUGGCCGGGCAGCACGUCGCCCCACAUGACGAACCAGCAGCAGACGGAGGGAUGCGAGCUGAUCCCUGCCGGGCCGCCGUCCUCGCGCGGGAGAAUCUCAUCGCCACAGUGUGAAUGGGUAAGAAGUGAAUACACAGUUCAAUGAGCCAAAUUAAUUUAUUUUCUCCACCAGACGCUCGAGGAAAUUUACGAGCCGGUCCAGCCGCUCGUUGAUCCCCGCGAUCCCCCUGAUGAUUUCUUCCUGCGAUUGCAGGACUCCGCGAGGACCCUUCCACUGCGUCCGGGUGGUCCAGCGGAAGCGCCGCGGCUGGUGGACGCUCCACCGCUUGUCGGCGCGCUGGUGCUGAUGCUGGUGCUGGGGCCGGGGUGGCCCGAAUGCCGCUGGUCCUGGCCGACGACUCCGAGCCGGCGGACGGGCUGCCGCGGGCCGGGGUUCCGCAAGCCGGCGACACGGCCGACACAUUAAUUUCUGUGACACAAUAAAAAUAUUAGUUCAUUUCAAUUCCUUUUUCUGUGUAUCUGUUGCGUUUACAUCUCUCUCCACAGUAUCAUAGGUAAUGUAAUCCAGUAUUUCGAGGUCAGUUAUGCACAUUACAGUUGUUUAUUGCAUAAAAAGUUAUUGAAAAAUGAAGUUAAGGGCGAAGUAUAAAUCACGUCUAAAAAAAGACUGAAUCCCGACGUUGAAAUG
rnacentral:lncRNA from 1 species